rnacentral:rRNA from 1 species
AACGAACGCUGGCGGCAUGCCUAACACAUGCAAGUCGAACGAGACCUUCGGGUCUAGUGGCGCACGGGUGCGUAACGCGUGGGAAUCUGCCCUUGGGUUCGGAAUAACAGUUGGAAACGACUGCUAAUACCGGAUGAUGACGUAAGUCCAAAGAUUUAUCGCCCAAGGAUGAGCCCGCGUAGGAUUAGCUAGUUGGUGAGGUAAAGGCUCACCAAGGCGACGAUCCUUAGCUGGUCUGAGAGGAUGAUCAGCCACACUGGGACUGAGACACGGCCCAGACUCCUACGGGAGGCAGCAGUGGGGAAUAUUGGACAAUGGGCGAAAGCCUGAUCCAGCAAUGCCGCGUGAGUGAUGAAGGCCUUAGGGUUGUAAAGCUCUUUUACCCGAGAUGAUAAUGACAGUAUCGGGAGAAUAAGCUCCGGCUAACUCCGUGCCAGCAGCCGCGGUAAU